rnacentral:rRNA from 1 species
AACGAACGCUGGCGGCAUGCCUAACACAUGCAAGUCGAACGAGACCUUCGGGUCUAGUGGCGCACGGGUGCGUAACGCGUGGGAACCUGCCCGUAGGUUCGGAAUAACUCCCCGAAAGGGGUGCUAAUACCGGAUAAUGUCUUCGGACCAAAGAUUUAUCGCCUUUGGAUGGGCGCGCGUUGGAUUAGCUUGUUGGUAGGGUAAAAGCCUAUCAAGGCGACGAUCCAUAGCUGGUCUGAGAGGAUGAUCAGCCACACUGGGACUGAGACACGGCCCAGACUCCUGCGGGAGGCAGCAGUGGGGAAUAUUGGACGCUGGGCGAAAGCAUGAUCCAGCAAUGACGCGUGAGUGAUGUAGGCCUUAGGGUUGUGAAGCUCUUUUACCCGGGAUGAUAAUGACAGUACCGGGAGAAUAAGCUCCGGCUAACUCCGUG